GGAAGUCACACUAGCCAAGCUGGGGUACCUGGAGCAUAGACCACAUAAGGACAAAAGAACAGGUCUGAACUUAAAUGCAACUCAGGAGCCAAGGCAGGGGGAGGCUUCCCACAGCUGUUUUCAUAGGAGCCUGAUGCAGGUUACACUGCUGUACUGCAUCAGAGCAUAGCUUGGCUGGCACCUAAAGUCCACAGGGGUGGGAAGAAAAGGCUGUGUGGAGGACGGAGGUUUGAUUGUGUGCUUAGCUGACUGUGUGCUUAGCUCUAAGAUGGCGUUCCCUGUCUUUGGGGUGGUAGCAUGAGUUUAGGAAACUCCAGUAGCCACUUGCAGUUUCAUCACUGUAGAAAUGUCAGAUAGCAUGAGCAGCUUGGUUACUGCAAUCUGAUACUGAUGGAUGCUACAAUAAAGCCAUUGUACUUCACUGUUAUUUACCCAGAGCCGUGAUAUGGAUUUGGAAGUUUGAAUAUAAAGAAGACACUAUAUCCAGCAGAUAUCAUUGUGAAAAUACCUGUAGGAACACUUACGUAACAAAAGCAGGCAGUAAUAAAGUUUAGGAAAGAAAAGAAGACAUUAAACUGAUGAGAUGCUGUGUAAGAUAAAAUGCUCUUGAGCCUGAGUUAAGCUCAUUAAAGCUAAGGUGGGAGAAAAAGUGAAUCAUCUGUGUUCUGCCAAAAGACUGGAGUAAUCAAAAGAGAUGAGGAUGCUGAAAUCUAUUGUGAUAGUUCUGUACAACGUAAUUCAGAGGUUCUCUAGCUACAGG